rnacentral:rRNA from 1 species
AACGAACGCUGGCGGCAGGCUUAACACAUGCAAGUCGAACGCGUGUAGCAAUACACGAGUGGCGCACGGGUGAGUAACGCGUGGAUAUCUGCCUUUUGGUUCGGAAUAACCCCGGGAAACUGGGGCUAAUACCGGAUGGUUCCUACGGGAUAAAGAUUUAUCGCCAAAAGAUGAGUCCGCGUACGAUUAGCUAGUUGGUGAGGUAAUGGCUCACCAAGGCGACGAUCGUUAGCUGGUCUGAGAGGACGAUCAGCCACACUGGGACUGAGACACGGCCCAGACUCCUACGGGAGGCAGCAGUGGGGAAUAUUGGACAAUGGGGGCAACCCUGAUCCAGCCAUGCCGCGUGAGUGAUGAAGGCCUUCGGGUUGUAAAGCUCUUUUGGCGGGGACGAUGAUGACGGUACCCGCAGAAUAAGCCCCGGCUAACUUCGUGCCGGCAGCCGCGGUAAGACGAAGGGGGCUAGCGUUGUUCGGAAUUACUGGGCGUAAAGCGCGUGUAGGCGGUUGCCCAAGUCGGGUGUGAAAGCCUUGAGCUCAACUCAAGAAAUGCACUCGGUACUGGGUGACUAGAGGACCGGAGAGGAUAGUGGAAUUCCCAGUGUAGUGGUGAAAUACGUAGAGAUUGGGAAGAACACCAGUGGCGAAGGCGGCUAUCUGGACGGUUUCUGACGCUAAGACGCGAAAGCGUGGGGAGCAAACAGG